rnacentral:rRNA from 1 species
AGCAGUCGCCGCGGGAAUACGGAGGGUGCAAGCGUUAAUCGGAAUUACUGGGCGUAAAGCGCACGCAGGCGGUCUGACAAGUCAGAUGUGAAAUCCCCGGGCUUAACCUGGGAACUGCAUUUGAAACUGUCAGGCUGGAGUCUUGUAGAGGGGGGUAGAAUUCCAGGUGUAGCGGUGAAAUGCGUAGAGAUCUGGAGGAAUACCGGUGGCGAAGGCGGCCCCCUGGACAAAGACUGACGCUCAGGUGCGAAAGCGUGGGGAGCAAACAGGAUUAGAUACCCCUGUAGUCCCUGUCUCUUAUAC